CUCUGUUGAUUCAAACAAAUUGGAGGUUAACACUAUGAUGCCCACGUGACAUUUCAAGCACAUCUUUAACACAUCCUAUUCAAGCACCUCCAUUUGUCCGUCAGAAACUCUUACAAGAACGCUCUGUUGAUUCACACAAACUGGAGGUUAACACUAUGAUGCCCACGUAACAUUUCAAGCAAGUCUUUAACACAUCACAUUCACACACCUUCAUUUGUCUGUCAGAAACUCUUACAAAAACGCUCUAUUGCUUCAAACAUACUGGAGGUUAACACUAUGAUGCACAUAUACACAUUUCAAGGAGAUCUUUAACACAUUCAUGCACCUUCAUUUGCCAGUCAGAAACUCUUACAAAAACGCUCUACUGCUUCAAACAUACUGGAGGUUAACACUAUGAUGCACAUAUACACAUUUCAAGCAAGUCUUUAACACAUCAUAUUUACGCACAUUCGUUUGUUCGUCAGAAACGCUUACAAGAACGCUCUAUUGCUUCAAACUACUGCUGGAGGUUAACACUAUGAUGCACAUAUACACAUUUCAAGCACAUCUUUAACACAUUCACGCACCUUCAUUAGUCAGUCAGAAACUCUUACAAGAACGUCCUACUGAAGUCAAACAUACGUAGAUAUCAACUGUUACUGGAGGUUAUGAAGGUCAGAUACAGGUUACAAGGAGAUCUUUAAACAACUCACACUGACCCAACGUUGUAAAGCUGGUGUGUGUGUGUGCGUGUGUGCGUGUCGCCUAACUGUGAAGACGAUUCUGUGAUGUUAUGAAUAGCAGCACCACCGACAAACUACGUAGAUACGAUAGAUAACGAUAACUACCUGCAAACACACACACACACACACACACACACACACACACAGACACACACACACACACACACACACAC